rnacentral:lncRNA from 1 species
GCUUAACUCUAUUCGACUAUAAGCAUAAGCUAUCAUCUCACCUCGAGCUCGACCGCAAGCAUAAAGCUACGGCCUUAACUUCAUCUGACCACAAGCAUAAAGGUAUGGCCUUAACUCCAUUCAACUGCAAGCAUAAGCUAUGACCUCACCUUGAGCACGGUCGCAAGUAUAAAGCUACGGCCUUGACUCUAUCCAGCCCA